GAGGGUCAGUACUCAAGGAUCUUUGCUGAAGGUGCUCGUACCUGUUAAUCUUGUGGUGUGUGAGGUGAUGGACCUGAAGCAAUUUCCCCAAGGCAGGAGGACAAACAGGUUACAUUAUGGACGCCAAUACCAUGGGUGGGUCCCAAAAACUAAACAGACACAACAAGCGCUGUAUUUGCCCCUAUUUUAGUGGACACCAUUUUUUUACCAGGGAUGGUGUUUCAGUCCCGAAGAGACCAGCAGGUGGCGAUGUUCUCAGACACCAUGAGGAACCAGUCCGAGCUGUGAAGCCAGCAGCCGUGGAGACAGGUGGCCCUGUGUGCUACGGCUG